rnacentral:tRNA from 2 species
AAAAUACUAGUAAAGCCCACAUUACAUUGCCUUGUCAAGGCAAAAUCGUGGGUUAAAAUCCCACGUAUUUUA